UACGAAGGGGGCUAGCGUUGCUCGGAAUCACUGGGCGUAAAGCGCACGUAGGCGGCUUCUUAAGUCAGGGGUGAAAUCCUGGAGCUCAACUCCAGAACUGCCUUUGAUACUGAGGAGCGUUGAGUCCGGGAGAGGUGGAGUGGAACUGCGAGUGUAGAGGUGAAAUUCGUAGAUAUUCGCAAGAACACCAGUGGCGAAGG
rnacentral:rRNA from 1 species